AUGGCCACAUCACAUUAACACACUGGUUCUCAAAUGAUCACUGUAGUUAAGCAACACCGAGUCUGGUCAGUACCUUGAUGGGUAACCACUUGGGAAUACCAGGUGUUGUAA